rnacentral:lncRNA from 7 species
GAGGCAGCAGGCCUGCACACCUCCAGGCUCACCAGCACACAGCACACUUGUGGGUGCCCCAAUCAACAGCACAGCCCCUCUGCCUACUGAUUUCAGAAUACACUACCUGGCUCCCCAGCUGUAUCAAAUUCAAAGAACAGGCCCCUUGAUACUCCAAACUGGCUGAAGAUAACUGGCCCUGUCUUCAGUGUAAAAAGGAUGACUCAGAGACAGAUGGUCACAGUUGCCGUCUUCCACUGACUGGGGAGAAAAUGUGUGCUUGAUGGCCCUCAGCACGUAUGAAAUCUCAAAGCUCUGGAAUUUUCAUAUUACAUAAGUAAACAUAUGUCACAGAAAAUGAAAAAAAAAAUUCUUCAGAAAUUCUUCAGGGAACAAUACAUAUUGCAACAAAUAUUUAUACAGAUUCCUCCUUCAUCACAGAAUUUGCUGGAUGUCAUCACCCUUGAUCCCAAUGUUUAAAUGUAAUGGACUUAUUUGCGUACUUUCCACUGGGAGCACAUGACCAUGUCUGUUAAUAAAGAUAGCCAAAGACUGCUGACUUUUGAGCCCAGCACUUACUAACAUUUCAAGCGUAAUUUACACAUACUUUGCUAAUGCUAGCUUUUAAUCAGGCAAACUGACAAGCACAAACAUUCUGCUUCACAUAUAAUUUUAUGAAACAAUAUUAUUGUAACUAAAAGUAUAAAAAACACAGGCAAAAAUGAUUAAAUUGCACUUCAUGUAAGUACUGUAGAAGAACAUGUACACAUCUUUGUUUUCAAAAAAAAAUGCUUUUGUAAAAAAGAUGUAUUGCUAUUACAUUAUUAUAUGAUCUGUGUAAUAUCUGUCUACAGAACAGAUAAUAGGAAAUGUGUUUCUGAGUGAGAAUUCAGCAUUGGAACAAAUAUUGAUUAAAAGAUUAAAAUAUAUCUAUCUAUGGGCAAAU